rnacentral:rRNA from 1 species
GACAGAGGCCCCAAGCGUUAGGCGGAAUCACUGGGCUUAAAGCGUGUGUAGGCGGACGCCUAAGUGUCUUGUGAAAGCCCACGGCUCAACCGUGGAAGCGCAUCCGAAACGGCCUCGCUCGAGUCUCGGAGAGGAAGGUGGAAUGCUUGGUGUAGAGGUGAAAUUCGUAGAUAUCAAGCAGAACACCUGCGGCGAAGGCGGCCUUCUGGACGGAUGACUGACGCUGAGACGCGAAAGCGUGGGGAGCAAACAGG